rnacentral:rRNA from 1 species
UACGUAGGGUGCGAGCGUUAAUCGGAAUUACUGGGCGUAAAGCGUGCGCAGGCGGUUUGUUAAGACAGGGGUGAAAUCCCCGAGCUCAACUUGGGAAUGGCGCUUAUUACUGGCAAGCUAGAGUGUGUCAGAGGGAGGUAGAAUUCCACGUGUAGCAGUGAAAUGCGUAGAGAUGUGGAGGAAUACCGAUGGCGAAGGCAGCCUCCUGGGAUAACACUGACGCUCAUGCACGAAAGCGUGGGGAGCAAACAGG